rnacentral:rRNA from 1 species
CCUAUGGGUGGCAGCAGUGAGGAAUAUUGGUCAAUGGCCGGAAGGCUGAACCAGCCAAGCCGCGUGAGGGAGGAAGGCGCAGAGCGUCGCAGACCUCUUUUGCCGGGGGACAAAAGGCCGUACUCGUCCGGUCCUGAGCGUACCCGUAGAAAAAGCAUCGGCAAACUCCGUGCCAGCAGCCGCGGUAAUACGGAGGAUGCGAGCGUUAUUCGGAUUCAUUGGGUUUAAGGGGUGGGCAGGGGGGCCUUUAAGCAGGCGGUGAAAUCGCGGGGCCCAACCCCGCCGAGCCGUCGGAACUGGGGGCCUUGAGUGCGGCGGAGGCAUGCGGAAUGCGCGGUGUAGCGGUGAAAUGCAUAGAUA